UUAAGACAACAUUUUUCUAUUGAUUACAUUUUUUUGUUACCACAAUAGUAAGAGUGCUUCUUUUUAAGAACAAUGGGAUGCAAAUACAGGGAAAGUAAGCCUACAGACUGAAAAAAGAGUUACAGAAAUCUUUAAAUGUUUAACUAGAGAUCAUUAAAAAUAAAUGUAUGAGAAUUAUGCUUCCAUUAUAUUCUAGAUCAGAGCCCUCACUGUAAUUCUGCAUAUUUUAAGUAUUCACCAAUAAUCCUCCCACGGGAAUGUAACAUUCCCCCUCGGGACACCCUAACAUGUAAUGGUAGCGCCCGCCCUGACUCAGUGUUGAAUAAUAAUAAUAAUGAGGAAGUAGUGGAUUGUCAAGUGCAAAACAUUUACCCUGUCCGUCUGAACCGUUCUCAUUUAAAGACUGAUUAAACACAUCUGGAUCAACACAUUACCGGCCAUAACGAUUUACAGUGUUUGCUGAAAACAUUUGUUUUAAGUUCUUUAGAUAUCAUUUACAUAUUGUCUGACACCCGAAAAGAGGCAACAACGUAUGCCUUUGUGGAGCCUGACCCGAUGGCGUUUGUUUAGUGGAACCGAUGUUUCAAAGGUUCCCCAGUGUGGCCUAGUACUCUAGUGAAGGAUCCCACUAGUGUCCCGGUGGUUCUUGUAGAGCACUGACUUCACUCCUCCCUGUAGGGUAUGGCGUGGAACUCCACUCCAGUGAACCUUGGCCUUCCCAUGGGGUCAGCUCUGCCCUCUACUGUCAUCACCUUUAAAGCUACACAUUGUCUAGCACGCCCCUACAUCUCCAAACGUUUAUAUUUAGUUCUAUGAUUGUAUGUAUUUGGUGUCUUAUUUAUUCUGCACUUAGGGUUAGGGUUUCAGCUAUUCUAUUCUCCAAUUCUGGUUUCAUUCUAUUCUGUCAAGCACUUUGUAAUCUGCUUUCGAAAGGUGCUCUAUAAAUUAAGGUAGGUACUUGCAUAUUAUUAUUAUUAUGCUUAUUACUAUUGCUACUCCUACUAUUAGUCCGCAUAUCUUGAACACAAACCAACAUUUAUAGCAACAUUGAAAAAUGUCCCAGUCCUGGUUUGGUGGUCUGAGGUUGAUGUCGUUCUCUGGAAUAUUCACAGAUAUGUGCGGAGUAACACUUGCUCGAACGUUACGUUUCGGAGGACUCGCCAGUACUCGAACGUUGGGUUUCAGAGGAAGCUUCGGUUGUCUAACGUUUCUUUUGGGAGGAAGCUUCGGUUCUCGAACGUUACAUUUUGGAGGACGCUUCGGUUCUCGAGCUCUGUUUGGACUGCAAGGGGAAUUCCUCUCGUUGAUCACAAUGAACAACAGCAGUCCAACACACGCCAGCUGGCCCCACGUGUUUCUUACAGACGAAAGUUCGUGGUCAGUGAUGCCGCUUCCGAUGUUGCCUCCGAUCUCUGACAGCUCAGAGUGUUGUCUUCGGUCCAAGGAGAAGACUCUGAGCUCCCUCAAGAGGUUGAUGCUGAUCCGGUAGGUGUGCACUGGGUCGUACCCAGUCCCCAGACCCUGAUUGGCCUCGUAGUGCUGUGUGAUGAACACCUGACCGAUGGUGUCCUGGUCCAAGAGCGAGAAUAUGAUGCGGGCCCUGUUGAGUUCCUCACCCCCCAACAGAUGGUUUACGUGACCCGCGACAUAAGAGGGCAAAGAGAUUCCGUUAUUGUUGAUCAUGGGGUUGAUGUUGCCGAGGGUGUAGUACUGCUGGCCGGGUGGCAGUCGAUCCAGGACUCCCUCAUAGUUUCCAUAGUGAUGAGUGCCAUAGUCUCCAUUGCUUGGUUCAAAGGUCAGCUCUAUCAAGUCGUUGUUGUCAAAUUCUA